rnacentral:misc_RNA from 1 species
GAUGAAGAACGUAGCGAAAUGCGAUAAGUAGUGUGAAUUGCAGAAUUCAGUGAAUCAUCGAAUCUUCGAACGCACAUUGCGCCCCUUGGUAUUCCAUGGGGCAUGCCUGUUCGAGCGUCAUUUGUACCUUCAAGCUUUGCUUGGUGUUGGGUGUUUGUCUCGCCUUUGCGUGUAGACUCGCCUUAAAAUAAUUGGCAGCCGGCGUAUUGAUUUCGGAGCGCAGUACAUCUCGCGCUUUGCACUCAUAACGACAGCGUCCAAAAGUACAUUUUACACUCUUGACCUCGGAUCAGGUAGGGAUACCCGCUGAACUUAAGCAUAUCAAUAAGCGGAGGA